AGCAUCUACCAAUCCACUUAGCUUAUGAAGCAAGGAUUGUUGGUCCGGUUCAAUAUAGGUGGAUGUAUCCAUUUGAGAGGUUGAUGCCUUCUCACCCAUGUUCAGUUACAAUAACAAAAAUAUUCAUGAAAAUGAUCCAUCCGAAUGGAUAUAAUUGGAAGAGUGUGCCUAAUGAGUACAAAGAGACAUACUUUGACGAAUUGAAGAAAUUUUACAAGUGGGA